UGGGGAAUAUUGCACAAUGGGCGCAAGCCUGAUGCAGCCAUGCCGCGUGUGUGAAGAAGGCCUUCGGGUUGUAAAGCACUUUCAGCGAGGAGGAAGGUGGUGAACUUAAUACGUUCAUCAAUUGACGUUACUCGCAGAAGAAGCACCGGCUAACUCCGUGCCAGCAGCCGCGGUAAUACGGAGGGUGCAAGCGUUAAUCGGAAUUACUGGGCGUAAAGCGCACGCAGGCGGUUUGUUAAGUCAGAUGUGAAAUCCCCGGGCUCAACCUGGGAACUGCAUUUGAAACUGGCAAGCUAGAGUCUCGUAGAGGGGGGUAGAAUUCCAGGUGUAGCGGUGAAAUGCGUAGAGAUCUGGAGGAGUACCGGUGGCGAAGGCGGCCCCCUGGANGAAGACUGACGCUCAGGUGCGAAAGCGUGGGGAGCAAACAGAUUAGNUACCCUGGUAGUCCACGCUGUAAACGAUGUCGAUUUUGGAGGUUGUGCCCCUGAGGCGNGGNUUCCGGAGCUAACGGUUAAAUUGACCGCCNGGGGAGUANGGCCCAAGGUUAAAACUUAAAUGAAUUGCGGGUCUAGCGUUCC
rnacentral:rRNA from 1 species